GGCCGAUUAGGUAGUUGCUGGGGUAGCGUCCCAACAAGCCGAUAAUCGGUACGGGUUGUGAGAGCAAGAGCCCGGAGAUGGAUUCUGAGACACGAAUCCAGGUCCUACGGGGCGCAGCAGGCGCGAAAACUUUACACUGCGCGAAAGCGCGAUAAGGGGACCUCGAGUGCGUGCGCAAAGCGUACGCUUUUCAGAUGCCUAAAAAGCAUCUGGAAUAAGGGCCGGGCAAGACCGGUGCCAGCCGCCGCGGUAACACCGGCGGCUCAAGUGGUGGCCGCUAUUAUUGGGCUUAAAGGGUCCGUAGCCGGACCAGUUAGUCCCUUGGGAAAUCUUACGGCUUAACCGUAAGGCUGCCAGUGGAUACUGCUGGUCUUGGGACCGGGAGAGGCAAGAGGUACCUCAGGGGUAGGAGUGAAAUCCUGUAAUCCUUGAGGGACCGCCAGUGGCGAAGGCGUCUUGCUAGAACGGGUCCGACGGUGAGGGACGAAAGCUAGGGGCACGAACCGGAUUAGAUACCCGGGUAGUCCUAGCCGUAAACGAUGCGAGCUAGGUGUCACGUGGAUUGCGAAUCCAUGUGGUGCCGAAGGGAAACCGUGAAGCUCGCCGCCUGGGAAGUACGGCCGCAAGGCUGAAACUUAAAGGAAUUGGCGGGGGAGCAC
rnacentral:rRNA from 1 species